rnacentral:rRNA from 1 species
GACGAACGCUGGCGGCGUGCCUAACACAUGCAAGUCGAACGGAAAGGCCCUGCUUUCGUGGGGUGCCCGAGUGGCGAACGGGUGAGUAACACGUGAGUAACCUGCCCUUGACUUUGGGAUAACUUCAGGAAACUGGGGCUAAUACCGGAUAGGAGCCCCCGCUGCAUGGUGGGGGUUGGAAAGUCUCGGCGGUUGGGGAUGGACUCGCGGCUUACCAGCUUGUUGGUGGGGUAGUGGCUUACCCAGGCUUUGACGGGUAGCCGGCCUGGGAGGGUGACCGGCGACAUUGGGACUGAGAGACGGCCCAGAGUCGUACGGGAGGCAACGGUGGGGAGUAUUGCACAGUGGGCGGGAGCCUGAUGCAGAAGCGCCGCGUGCGGGAUGACGGCCUUCGGGUUGUGAACCGCUUUCGCCUGUGACGAAGCGGGAGUGACGGUAAUGAGUGAAGAAGCACCGGCUAACUACGUG